rnacentral:snRNA from 1 species
AUAAUAAAAUAAAGGCUUUUCCCAUCAGGAUGAAGGUAGUGUUCUCAGGGUGAGACCUACCCAUUGAACUCUGGGUGGGUUGACCCUUGUGAUUUCGCUAAAUGUGGGAAACUCAACUGUACAAUUUGUGGUAGUGAGGGACUGUGUUUGUGCUAUCCGCU